UCUCGAUAGCGUAAAAGUUAACUCUAAUUUGUAUUGAGAUGGAACGUUUCCCUACGUUUGUCGCUAGGGGCGCUGUUCCAACUACACACAAAUUUGAGUAAACUUUUACGCUAUCGA
rnacentral:pre_miRNA from 9 species